rnacentral:tRNA from 1 species
AAGGGAUUAGUCCAAACAAGACCUCUGAUUUCGGCUCAGAAAACCACGGUCAAAGUCCGUGAUCCCUUU